rnacentral:rRNA from 1 species
UUUAUUGGAGAGUUUGAUCCUGGCUCAGGACGAACGCUGGCGGCGUGCCUAAUACAUGCAAGUCGAGCGGAGUUAAUCGGGAGCUUGCUCCUGAUUAACUUAGCGGCGGACGGGUGAGUAACACGUAGGCAACCUGCCCGUAAGACUGGGAUAACUACCGGAAACGGUAGCUAAUACCGGAUACGCAAGUUUCUCGCAUGGGGAGCUUGGGAAAGGCGGAGCAAUCUGUCACUUACGGAUGGGCCUGCGGCGCAUUAGCUAGUUGGUGGGGUAACGGCUCACCAAGGCGACGAUGCGUAGCCGACCUGAGAGGGUGAACGGCCACACUGGGA